rnacentral:lncRNA from 1 species
UCCAGGACAGCCAGGGCUACAGAGAAACUCUGUCUCGAAAAACCAAAAAAAAAAAAAAAAAAAAAAAUCCAGUAACCUGCUGCUAACAAAUGCUAGAAUAUUUACUUAAAAAUAUUUCUAGGAGCAGUAUUAUUCUAUUGUGGGUUUUUUUUUUGUUGUUGUUAUUUAUUUUUUUUUUUUAAGGAAGAAACUUGCCAGGUGUUGGUGGUGCAUGCCUUUAAUCUCAGCACUUGGGAAGCAGAGGCAGGCAGAUCUCUGAGUUGGAGGUCAGCCAGAGCUACAUAGAGAAACCUUGUCUUGAGUAACUACCACCAUCAUCAUUAUCAACAAUAACAAAAAAAAAAAAAGAAGAAGAAAGAAAGAAAAAAUAAAAAAGGAAGAAAGAAGAGAAAAGAAUAAAAAAGGAAAAGAAACUUUCCCUUUUCAAGUUAAAGAGUUUUCUUCAUGCUGCCCCAUAGAUGUCAACAGGCUUAAAAAAGAGUAUUUUAUUGAAGGUGCCUGCCAUAGUUAAGUAAUGUUAGUCUGCAGGGGACUAGAUGACAUUGGCGUUUGCUAAACUUUGUGUUCUUUCCAAUUUGAUGUGCUGUGCCUGUCUUACUUUACGCUUGCUUUUCUGAGAGUACAGACCUUUGUGUGUGUGUGCAUUAUUGGGAAGCCACUGCAGUCCAGUUGCAUGCAGCCCAGUUGCACUGCAGCCCAGUUGCACUGCAGUUGCAUGCAGUUCAGUUGCACUGCAGCCCAGUUGCAUGCAGUCCAGUUCAUGCAGCCCAGUGGCACUGCAGUUGCAUGCAGUUCAGUUGCACUGCAGCCCAGUUGCACUGCAGCCCAGUUGCACUGCAGCCCAGUUGCAGUACUUUAAUUUCUUGCUGAGCCCCUCCCCUUUCCUAGGAGCUAAGGUAUCUGAGAAGGAAAGGUGAGACUGAACUUUUGAAGAGGAAUACGAUUUGGAGGUGAUAGCACCUUGAGGGGAUUUGGGUCUGAAUGGAGAGGUUGUGUGCGAGAGUCUUUGAGCAGCUGAGGGUAUUGAAAGCCCAGAACCAGUAGGAAGAGUUGGAGAUCUGGGAGCCAGGAUAGAUGAAUUUUGUGAGGAGUCAACUCUGCUUUGUACUGACCCAUCCAUCGCUCACCCUUCCAACCUUCAAGUGUUGUUACAUUUUUUAUUCAUAUUGUCAUUUGAUUGAUUACUCUGCCCUGGCGGGAGUGACAAUCUAGACCUUGUUUCUCCAAAUUUGAGGGUUUAGCUCUUCUGAAAAAUGAACUUGAGUUUCCUUCAAACCAAUCAAGGUAGCAGCUUUUUUCUUGGUGUCCUUUCGUUCUAUUUCCUGGUCCUUUCUGGGACCUCUCCGUAAACCCUGUCAGUGGCUUCAUGUGCUGAAGUGUAUAGAACUUGGAAUGUAGGUUGAGUUUAGUUUCUGUCUCAUGUCUUCCCGUUCCUGCAUCCCUCUCUCCCCUGUGGGCACAGGUGUAUGCAGCCUCAUGGGUGCCACAGUGCAUGUGCUGUAGGUCAGAGGACAGACAGGUUUUCAGGAGUGGGUUUUUACCUUCCAUCUUGUGUUUAAUUUUGUUUUUCUAGACAGUUAACUGUUUAUAGCCCUGGCUGUCCUGAAACUCCUUCUGUAGAUCAGGCUGGUCAGGCUGGUCUUGAACACCCAAGAGAUCUGUCUGCCUCUGCCUUCAGAGUGCUGGGAUUAAAGACAUGUGCAACCACGUCCUGGUAGGGAUCUUUCUGUGUUUCUGCUGUUUUUGUAACCUGUGAGCUUCCAGCCCAGUUUAUUCCCACCUCUCAUCUUGUUAUAAGAUUGCUGGGGUUAUAGACAACAAACUGUCACAAUCCAUUUUUUUAUUUUUAAAUGUGACUUCCAGGAAUUGAGUUGAGGUCCUUAGGCAAACACUCUCACCCAUCAAGCCAUCUUGAUAGCCCGAGCUUUACUUUAAAAAAAAAAAAAAGAAAUUUAUUUUUUUGGGGGGGGCUUAGGAGAUGAUUGGUUUAAAACACCCUCAUCUUACUUUUCCUGUGCAUGUGCAUGUGCACGUGUGUGUGUGUGUGUGUGUGUGUGUGUGCGCGCGCGCGCGCUAUCAAGAUGGCUGGUCCUUUUGUCCUGUUUACUCCUAGUCUAGGCAGUUGGUUUUCAAAGGGAUGAUUUUGGACUCCCAGUUCCUCUAAUCCUCAAGACUUUUUUUUUUUUUUAAGUGUCUGAAUUUAGUUACUACAAAUAGGAGACAGGAUGGAUUUGACACUAGUGGGUAGGGGCCAGACAUGGAGUCGGCUAAACAUUUGGUGCUUAUAUAGAGAACAUCCUUUUACCACAAAAGGUUACUUAGCCUAAAAAUGUUAAUUGUGCCAAAGUUGAGACAAUCCUGUCUGGGCAGAAUCGGCCUAGUGGGCUUGUGUUCACCACUGAGUUAGCUGAAGUAGGUAUGCCCACAACUUACAUUAUAGCAACCCGACAGUAGGAGUGCUUCAUAAUCUUCCUCUGUAGUGUUGGGUGCUUCCUCUCUCUCUCGUUACUCUCACACCUUUCCUGUGACUUUCCUUCCCCAGCUUGAUGAUGCUUCAUAAUUAGGUUAGGUAUUCUAGCAUUUAAGGCUGAACAUCCAGCUAGGUGUAGUGGGUGCACACCUUUAGUCCCAGCACUCAGGAGGCUCAAGGCCAGCCUAAUCUGUAGAUGGAGUUCAAGGACAGCUAGGGCUACACAGAGAAGCCCUGUUUUGG